GCCCGAGUGGCGGAAUUGGCAGACGCUGUGGACUCAAAAUCCACCGUUGGCAACAACGUGCGAGUUCGAGUCUCGCCUCGGGCACCA
rnacentral:tRNA from 1 species